rnacentral:rRNA from 1 species
UACGAAGGGGGCUAGCGUUGCUCGGAAUCACUGGGCGUAAAGCGCACGUAGGCGGAUUGUUAAGUCAGGGGUGAAAUCCUGGAGCUCAACUCCAGAACUGCCUUUGAUACUGGAGAGCUUGAGUCCGGGAGAGGUGAGUGGAACUCCGAGUGUAGAGGUGAAAUUCGUAGAUAUUCGGAAGAACACCAGUGGCGAAGGCGGCUCACUGGCCCGGUACUGACGCUGAGGUGCGAAAGCGUGGGGAGCAAACAGG